CCUUUUUUUCCAUCUUCUCAUUCGAACAAACAGCGACACAGUGAGCAAGAAUGUGGAGAAGAGCUUUCUGUAAUCUCUCAAAAAGACCGUUUUCUUCACAAUCUGAAAUACCCACUUUGUAUUCCUUUCUCCAGCCUUCAAUUUUCUCCUUAAAAAGAUAUGAAUCACCUUCUACAACCCCACCAAAACCCCAUGACCAAACCCCUCUAACCUUAACACAAGAACACAAAUCUAAUCUUGAAUCCACUCUUCAAGAUUCAAUCAAAAGUAACAACACAGAUGAAGCAUGGAAAUCAUUCAAGACUCUUUCAAAUUACUCUGCUUUCCCAAGUAAGUCACUUACCAAUUCAGUAAUCACUCAUUUGUCAUCAUUGAAUGAUACCCAUAACAUAAAAAGAGCAUUUGCAUCAGUAGUUUUCUUGUUAGAGAAGAAACAAGAAUUGUUAAAGCCUGAAACUGUACAUGUACUGUUGAAUUCAAUGAGGGAAGCUAAUAGUGCUGCCCCUGCUUUUGCAUUGGUGAAGUGUAUGUUCAAGAACAGAUUUUUCAUCCCUUUUAGUCUGUGGGGUGAUGUUCUUGUGGAGAUUUGUAGGAAAAAUGGCAACUUUGGUGGGUUUUUACAAGUUUUUAAUGAGAAUUGUAGGGUUGCUAUUGAUGAGAAGUUGAAUUUCUUGAAACCCAGUUUGGCAGCUUGUAAUGCUGCACUAGAAUGUUGUUGUCGAGAGGUUGAAUCGAUUACUGAUGCAGAGAAAGUGGUGGAAACCAUGUCAGUUUUGGGUGUUAGGCCUGAUGAAUGUAGUUUUGGUUUACUAGCUUAUUUGUAUGCAUUGAAGGGUCUUAAAGAGAAAAUAGCUGAGUUAGAAGGUUUAAUAAGUGGAUUUGGUUUCCCGGAUAAAGGGGUUUUUCUUAGUAACUUGAUUAGCGGAUUUGUAAAGUGUGGUAAUUUGGCGUCUGUUUCAGCAACUAUUCUUCAAGGUGUAAGAGAAACGGAUGGACAAGGAUUUUGUUUUCAAAAAGUAACUUAUAGUGAAGUAGUAAGUGGGUUUCUUCAAAAUGGGAGCAUAAAAGAUUUAGCUGCGUUGAUUGGUGAAACUCAGACCUUGGAAUCUCCAUCUGUGAUUGUUGAGAGAUCCGUUGGAUAUGGCAUCAUAAAUGCUUGCGUUAAUCUUGGGUUAUUGGACAAGGCACACAUGAUAUUUGAUGAAAUGAAUGCUCAGGGUGCUUCUUUAGGUCUUGGAGUCUACCUUCCAAUACUGAAAGCAUAUUGCAAAGAGCAAAGAACUGCUGAAGCAGCUCAACUGGUGACAGACAUAAGCGGUUUAGGUCUCCAGUUGGAUGUUGCUACCUAUGAUGCUCUAAUUGAAGCUUCAAUGUCAUGUCAAGAUUUUCAAUCUGCAUUUUCUGUGUUUAGGGACAUGAGAGAAGCAAGAAUACCUGACUUGCAAGGGAGUUACUUGACAAUCAUGACCGGUUUAACAGAAAGUCAUCGACCUGAGCUCAUGUCAGCUUUCUUGGAUGAGAUCGUUGAGGAUCCUAGAAUUGAAAUCGGAACGCAUGAUUGGAAUUCCAUCAUCCAUGCCUUCUGCAAGGCUGGACGGCUAGAAGAUGCAAGGAGGACUUUCAGGAGAAUGACCUUCCUUCAGUUCGAACCAAAUGAGCAGACAUAUCUUUCUCUAAUAAAUGGAAAUAUGACCGUGGAGAAGUAUUUCAAUGUUAUGAUGCUGUGGAAUGAAGUCAAAAGAAAGGUUUCUGCAGAAGGGGAAACAAAGUUAAAACUAGAUAGUAGCCUGGUUGAUGCGUUUCUGUAUGCAUUGGUUAAAGGGGGCUUCUUUGAUGCAGUAAUGCAAGUCGUGGAGAAAUCUCAAGAGAGGAAAAUUUUUGUUGAUAAAUGGAGAUAUAAACAAGCAUUCAUGGAGAAACAUAAGAAGCUCAGAGUUUCAAAGUUAAGAAGGAAAAAUCGCGGUAAAAUGGAGGCACUUAUUGCUUUCAAAAAUUGGGCGGGUUUGAGUGCUUGAUGGAUCUCAUAUCUGUCGCUUGCCUAUUUUGCUUGAUCUGAAUGCUGUAUGAAGCAUCUUGCUACUGGGUCCUAAAAUACUCAAUUUAACAUCAAAGGUUUUAGGCUUUUGAUGCUGGCACAACAAGUGCCAAAUUGUUUUUCAGGAAGCUCUCCCGGUAAGUAUAAGCUGCAGAGCCUCUAUCAUGUGAAACAGAUUGAAGAUGUAUUAUGCUUGCUAAACCAUAUGGAAAAGUGUGAUUGUAACUUCCAAGAAGCAGGAUUAUGCUCUGAGUAAAACACCAGUCUCCUUGAGCUAAAUGCUGCAGAAGCACUCCAAAGACCACUAUUCCUAUCUGGCUAUAGUCUGCGUACUCUAGAAGGUUCUAUAUCAUGAAACCUUUCUUCUUAUUUGUAACACACUUGUAUAAGAUUUUUCUUUUAGCAGGAGAAAUUGGCAUUGUGAGACCAGAAGCAGUGAAAGAAAGUACCCCGGUGCUUGUAGAAAAACUCAACAAAUGAUUUAAUAUACCUACAAAUGCAUAACAUCCUUGGUUGGCCACUCCUUUUGAUGAUGUUACUGGCCAAAAUGUGUAUGGUAGAGUAUUUUGUUGUUCAACUCUUGAAUAGGUGACAAGGAGCAUAUUUUGCCUGUACAAAUUUGGCAUACUCUGGGAAUUUGUAGAAGCAGUGUCUCAGCCUAUUAUUGCUAUUUGUCUUGUGAGUGAGUUUGAGUUUAGGAGUACAAAAAGUUGAACAGAAUCAGCAAGUUUAUUGGAAGAAGGAUGAGUGUGCUGAACUCUACAGAAUACAACUUGCUACUGCUCUUCUUAUAUCUAUUUUCUUCUGGAUGAGUUGUGUACUUUAGAUUUUAGAGAUGUCUAAGAGUAGUGUGUUAUUCUGUUAGCAUUGCAUUACAAUCUUGAAAACCAGUUUUUUUAUGCAGCAUAUAUAUUGUUGUAGUGAGCCAAGGGUGUAUCGGAAUUCGGAGAGGUAAGGUUUGCGUACAUCCUACCCUCCGCAGACCUUACUUGUGAGAUUACACUAGAUAUGUUGGUGUUUAUAUAUAUUGUUGUAGUCCAAUAGUAUAAUUCUACAUUAGUAUCCAAAUGCAGUCACUAAAUCCACAUUCAGAGGUGUUGACACAAAUCUUGAUUUUAUUUUGAUAAGAGUCCAUAUAUACUUAUACUUACUGUAUAUAGAAAGAACACAAAUUUCAAUUUCCUAUGGAGAAUUUCUUUUAAAUUAUUAUCUAGUUAUUUCCCAAGAGUUUUUGUUUUGUCCUUCUCACAAGAAUUUUUUGCUCCAGUGCAAGAAUGAGUACACACAUGUGAUACUGCAGGGCAGAGACACUAAUGAUGACACCCAAAUAGACUCCAGUUGGGUUGUCAGAUUCUCCCACUUGUUUCC